AACGCUGGCGGCGUGCUUAACACAUGCAAGUCGAACGAACCUUCGGGUUAGUGGCGGACGGGUGAGUAACGCGUGGGAACCUGCCCUCAGGAGGGGGAUAACGGCUGGAAACGGCCGCUAAUACCCCAUAUGCCGAGAGGUGAAAUGAAAUUCGCCUGAGGAUGGGCCCGCGUCUGAUUAGCUAGUUGGUUGCGUAAAGGCCUACCGAGGAGACGAUCAGUAGCUGGUCUGAGAGGAUGAUCAGCCACUUCUCCCUGUGACACGGUACNGACUCCUACGG
rnacentral:rRNA from 1 species